UACGUAGGGUGCAAGCGUUGUCCGGAAUUAUUGGGCGUAAAGAGCUCGUAGGCGGUCUGUCGCGUCGGCUGUGAAAUCCCGAGGCUCAACCUCGGGUCUGCAGUCGAUACGGGCAAACUAGAGUAUUGCAGGGGAGACUGGAAUUCCUGGUGUAGCGGUGAAAUGCGCAGAUAUCAGGAGGAACACCGGUGGCGAAGGCGGGUCUCUGGGCAACAACUGACGCUGAGGAGCGAAAGCGUGGGGAGCAAACAGG
rnacentral:rRNA from 1 species